GAAGUUGUGGAGAGAGAAUUCUGCUGUGAGAAGUGGUCUACCUCCUAGUUGAGCAGUAAACCAUCAAGGGUGUCUCAGUAGCUCAGAAGGCAUCUGGAAGUGGAGGUCCUGCUCAGGCUUCAAGUACAUACACUCACAGGUAACUCUCUUGCAGGACUGAGUGUGGGACCCAGGAACCCAGUGCUGGCAGGUGAGUGUCUUCCCAGCUUUUCUAAAGUGUACAUUCUCAGUGGGGAUCAAAGGUCACCUCUGAAGAAAAGAGAUGGAGAAGAGAUGUUGUGGGCUGUUGCUGGUGUUGUCUGCAAGGUCCUGUGACUGAGAGCAUGGAAUUAAACAGAAUGUCUUCUGACCAAACUUGCAUUUGUUGUUGUUGUUGUUGUUGUUGUUUGCUUUUGUUUUGUUUUGUUUUCAGGGGGCCUCUCUAAAUCCACACUCAGAGCUGUGCCAAGUAAUGUGAUAACCACUGGGGAGCAGGUAACUCUAAUUUGUGAAGGCCCCUUAGAUGCUCAGGAAUACCAUUUCUAUAAAGAAGGAAACCCACAUAUCCAGAUACCAACAGCUCAUGAAGACACUGAAAAAACGAACAAGAUCUUUAUCUCAUCCAUUAGAAGUCAUGAUGCAGGCCAAUACUGGUGUUAUUAUAAAAGCCCUGCUGGUACAUCAGAACACAGUGAUACCCUGGAGCUCGUGGUGACAGGUGAAAGGACCCUUCCCAAACACUAGGAUUUGUCUUGAGGAAAUGAUUAUAUUCCCUGUGGGGUCCCUUUGACAAUUCUGGAACAGGGGUGACCAUGUUAGCAAUAUAAGUCCACUUAGGAGGUUUCCUCUUUUCUCCUAGGAGUCUACUCCAGCAAAGUCACCCUUUCAUCCCUGCCCAGCCCUGUGGUGACCUCAGGAGGUUAUGUGACUCUUCAGUGCUCCUCACAAGAGGAAUAUAACAGUUUCAUUCUAGUGAAGGAAAAUCAAAAAUUUUCCAUGCGCAUGGCCUCACAGAACACAUACACUGGUGUAUUCCAGGCCCUGUUCACAGUGGGUCCUGUGACUCCACAACAGAGAUGGAGAUUCACAUGCUAUGGCUAUUACCUGAACAGCUUACAGCUGUGGUCAGUACCCAGUAACAGCCUAGAACUCCUGGUCUCAGGGCCCCUCCACAAACCCACCAUCUGGGCUGAGCCAGGCACUCUGAUCACAUUAGAGAGUCCUGUCACCAUCUGGUGUGAGGGGACCAGAGAAACCCAAAUAUAUGUGCUACAUAAAGAGGGAAGUCCAGUACCCUGAGACAGACAGACCCAAAAGGAUCUCAACAAUAAGGCAAAAUUCACUAUCCCUUCCGUGACAAAAAUGCAUGCAGGGAAAUAUCACUGUUACUGUUACAACUCUGCUGGGUGGUCACAUAACAGUGACACCUUGGAGCUGGUGGUGACAGGAGUCUAUCCAAGCAAAGUCUUCUUGUCAGCCCAGCAUAGCCCUGUGGUGACCUCAGGAGGGUCUGUGACCCUUAAGUGUUUCUCACAGAAUGAAUAUAACAGGUUCAUUCUAAUUAUGGAAGAUGAGAAAUUCUCCAGGCACAUGGACUCACAGUAUACAUACUACAGGGACUUCUGGGCGCUGUUCACUGUGGGUCCUGUGAAUCCCCCAAAGAGAUGGAUUUUCACAUGCUAUGGCUAUUCCUGGAACAGCCCCCAGCUGUGGUCAGUACCCAGUAACCAUCUA